GAAGACUUGAUAAUAUUUCUGUAGGCGUUAAUUUUUAGAGAUUUGAAUGGAUAAUAACUUUGUAAGAGCUUUCGAAAGUUGAUGUUGUAUUCAAUGACUUAGAUUUUUGGAAAAUAAAAUAGGAUCUAUGUUUUGGACAAUUUUAGGAGUUUGGUAAUAGAUCUAUGGAUAAAACUUUUUGAAUUUGUGGAUGUAGUUGUGCUUGAUAUAUAUAUUAUGAAUUUGGAUUUGAUUGAAUAAUUAGAUUGAAAAGCAUGAAGGAUUUUGUGGAUUAUGGUCUCAGAAUUUAAGGUUUUAAUUAGAUUGAAAAGCAUGAAGGAUUUUGUGGAUUAUGGUCUCAGAAUUUAAGGUUUUAAGGAUGAGUGAGGUUUUCUUAAAUAUGUAUCAGUCUGCUAUUUACAUUGAGAUAGAAUUUUUUAUAAAGGUAGUCAGCUUGAUUUCUAAUAAGUAUGUAAAGUUUGGAAGCAAUGUAACAAUUCAAUCAAGAGUAAUUGGCUUUGAAAGAUUGGCAUCAAGGUCAAAGAAAGAGGCCAGCCAACAUCGGAGCUCAUUUUUUAGGUUAUUGUCUAUUUGGUAAUUCCAUUCCUUUUCAAUUGAUUUUUUGCUUAUUUUUUACUUAAUGAAUGAAGAAUGUAUAAAAUUUGAGUUGAAAUCAACAGUUCAAAUAUUAAUUAUUGAAUUUUAAAUUUUUUUGUAAGCUUAUUAGAAAUUUGUUUGAGAUUUAAAAAAUUCAUUAGAAUUUGAUUAGGAUUAGGAUUUGAUUAAGAAUUAGGAUUUGAUUAGCAUAAGGAUUUUUUUAAAAUUAGGAUU
rnacentral:lncRNA from 1 species